UAAAAAAUCUCCCCAUCAAGGCCAACAGCAGAGUAGCCUACGAAAAGAAUAGACUGCAGUAAUUUGAAUGCUAAAGACAUUAAAACACAAUUGAUUAGGCCUAGGCCGACAUAUGUAUCGGUCUUAAUCCUGAAUGUACUGUGAGUACAUUCUUUCACGGCAUUUUCCCCCCUUCCAUAUUACAAAAAUCUUAAAUAGCUUGUGUGAUGAUGUCACAAAUGCAGGCAUCACAGCAGAUGGUUGGACUAGUUUCAGUCAAGACCACUACCUCACCGUCACAUUGCACUACGUCAGGGAAGGUCAGAGUAAAGAAAAAGUCCUUAAAAACAAAGCAGUGUUCCACGCUCAAACAGGGAUAGCUGUUGCGGAGGAGAUUGAGGGGAUCCUGGAGGAGUUUGGAGUGAAAGAGAAGGUGGUGGCAGCAACUGUGGCUAACGCAGCAAACAUGGAUGUAGCUGUUAAAAAGCUAAACAUCAUCAGGUUUCCAUGUUUUGCACACACACAGCUCAGAAGCUGUACAACAGCAAUACAGUUUCCAACUGGGCAGCAAGGAUUCGUUCUGUGAUUGUAUGGAUGAGGAGAUCCCACAUGGCUAAAGUCGUCCCAAAGGAAAAGCAGCAACUCCUCAAGCUGCCCCAGCACAUACUCCUUUUAGAUGUGAGGACUAGAUGGAACUCCCUGUAUUCGAUGAGGGAGAGAUUUUGUGAACAGUUCCCUGCCAUCCAAGCUGCAGCCAUAAACCAACGGCUUAGAAAGCCCAUGGAGAAGGAGUAAAAAAUUAAAAUGACUUAUAUAAAACUUGGUUGACUAAAGCCACAUUAAAAAGGUUAUGUUUGUUGGUUAUGCAAUAUUGUUACUUUUGUUUUGUUUGUGUUGCAGACUGCCAGAAUGGGCAAUGAGGACCUGAGGAAAGCAGAGGAGUUUGUGCAGCUGAUGAGGACACAUCCACACUCGCUGUCUCCAGCGAAAAAGUUCCAACCUGUGGCCAGAUAUUGCCCAUCCUUCAGAAACUGCGAAAACAUUACACUGUGCGGACAGAUGACUCUGGAAUGAUCUUUCCAAACGUUACCAGAUACAGUUACUGAUAUGUCACGAUUAAUUACUAUAUGAAAAUUAAUCAUAUACACUAAUGGUUAUUUAUUGUCAGUCACAUUUUCUCCUAAAUUGGUGUUUGUCCCCCAUUUUCAACUUAAGGAUGGUGAUAUCCAGGCAUUCCUGGAGGAAGCCACUGUGUUGGAUCCCGGAUUCAAAUCAAAAAAAUGGACAUGGAUGACAUCUGGGGCAGGGUCAGGGUAUCAGCAGUGGCAGCAAACACAGAGGCAGUGGAGAAGGUACUGUAUUUGAAUUUGACAAUGCCUUUAGCACAUUUCUGUUGUGAGACCUUUUCUUCUUGCUCUGUGGUUCUUACUUUACAUUUCUUCUCAAGCUGUCAGAGCCGAGAGAGACACAGGGGCAGGCAGAAGAAGAGAAUGAAGAAGAAGAAGAGGAGGACUACACGCCGCCUGUAAAGCAGAAGAAGAUGACAGCUCUAGAGGAACUUUUAGAAGAAGAGGACGGCAAGCUGCUUUCCACACAGCAGCUGCCCCCUGUCUCCACAGCCCAGAGAGUGGAUCAAGAAAUCCAGCUUUAUAGAAGCCUUCCUCCCAUUCCAACCAAAGACAGUGCCAGUCUCUGGUAGUGGAAGAAGAGUGACAUAUUGCCAGUGUUGUCAGCUCUUGCUGAAAAGUAUCUCUGUGACCAAGUGUCAUCCACCCCUUCUGA